AUGCAGGCAGUUGCUUGGAGAAGAUCUCGACCUUUGAACACAAAGGAGCUGCAGAAUCUUGAGAAACAGCUUGAAGGUGCCUUAGCACAAGCUAGACAAAGAAAGACACAAUUUAUGAUUAAACAAAUGGAAGAGCUUUGCAAUCGGCAAAGCCAUCUAGGAAACAUGAACGAACAACUAAAACUCAAGGUUGCACAAGGAACAUGUUCACAUAAAAUUUUAUUAACUUAUACUCAAUUCGGGUAA